GUUGAUCCUGCCAGUAAGUCAUAUGCUUGUCUCAAAGAUUAAGCCAUGCAUGUCUAAGUGCACGCCUUUAUACGGUGAAACCGCGAAUGGCUCAUUAAAUCAGCUAUGGUUUAUUGGAUCAUACCCGUUAAAUGGAUAACUGUAAUAACUCUAGAGCUAAUACAUGCCUCGAUGCCCUGACCCGCAAGGGAAUGGGUGCACUUAUUAGAUCAGAAGCCAACCGAGCUUGCUCGUUUGCCAUCUGGUGACUCUGGAUAAUUGUUACAGAUCGCAUCGACCUUGAGUCGGCGACGGGUCCUUCAAAUGUCUGCCCUAUCAACUUUCGAUGGUAGGCGACCUGCCUACCAUGGUGAUAACGGGUAACGGGGAAUCAGGGUUCGAUUCCGGAGAGGGAGCCUGAGAAACGGCUACCACUUCCAAGGGAGGCAGCAGGCGCGCAAAUUACCCACUCCCAGUACGGGGAGGUGGUGACGAAAAAUACCGAUGCGGGACUCAUAAUCGAGGCCCCGUAAUCGGAAUGAGUGAACUAUAAAUCCUUUCACGAGGAUCAAUUGGAGGGCAAGUCUGGUGCCAGCAGCCGCGGUAACUCCAGCUCCAAUAGCGUAUAUUAAAGUUGCUGCAGUUAAAAAGCUCGUAGUUGGAUCUGGGUUGCACUGUGUCCUGCCAUCGCUUGACCAGUUGAGCCAGGUUGCGUGCACCUCGUGUGCGUAUUCACUGGUUUGCUGCGUUGAGUUGGUAUGGAAGCGGUGUUACCUUUCAGCCAUGUCUGUGGUGCAAUACCCACAGGUGUAGGCGAGUGUCAGGCGGUGCUUUGCUUCCGGUAAGGUUCGUCGGCUCGUCUGCAUGCCUGCGGAUGCCCUUCAAAAGGUGUCGGUUGGCGGAUGGCACGUUUACUUUGAACAAAUUUGAGUGCUCAAACCAGGCCGAUGUUGCCUGAAAAGUUUUGCAUGGAAUAAUGGAAUAGGACUUCGGUUCUAUUUUGUUGGUUUUCGGAUCCGAAGUAAUGAUCAAAAGAGACAGGCGGGACGUUUGUAUGGCUGCGCUAGAGGUGAAAUUCAUGGACCGUAGCCAGACAGACUAAAGCGAAAGCAUUCGUCAAGCAUGUUUUCAUUGACCAUGAGCGAAAGUCAGAGGCUCGAAGACGAUCAGAUACCGUCCUAGUUCUGACCAUAAACGAUGCCAACUGACGAUCCGUGGUCGUUGUCUUAUAACCUUCGCCACGGGCAGUCACCGGGAAACCUUUAAGUCUUUGGGUUCCGGGGGAAGUAUGGUUGCAAAGCUGAAACUUAAAGGAAUUGACGGAAGGGCACCACCAGGAGUGGAGCCUGCGGCUUAAUUUGACUCAACACGGGAAAACUCACCCGGGCCGGACACUAUGAGGAUUGACAGAUUAAAAGCUCUUUCUUGAUUUGGUGGUUGGUGGUGCAUGGCCGUUCUUAGUUGGUGGAGCGAUUUGUCUGGUUAAUUCCGAUAACGAACGAGACUCUCACCUGCUAAUUAGUGCACUUGUCCCCUGUUCCUGUGCAAGUGGCGUUCGGCAAUGCUGCUCAGUUUCGCUGGCGUCGCCUGAGUUGGCUGUGUGUGUGCCUCGUGUAUGCGCGCGGUCGGCUUGGCGGUGUUGGCUUGGGUGGCAGGACCGGCGUUUGCUUCCGGGUACGGCGCAAGUGUUUACUUCUUAGAGGGACAAACGGGUAGAAGCCGCACGAAAUAGAGCAAUAACAGGUCUGUGAUGCCCUUAGAUGUCCGGGGCCGCACGCGCGCUACAAUGACGGUGCCAACGAGUCUGACCUCCUGGCCCGAAAGGGUUGGGCAAACUGGUCAAUCACCGUCAUGACAGGGAUCGGGGCUUGGAAUUAUUCCCCGUGAACGAGGAAUUCCUAGUAAGUGCAAGUCAUAAGCUUGCGCUGAUUACGUCCCUGCCCUUUGUACACACCGCCCGUCGCUACUACCGAUUGAAUGGUUUAGCAAGGUCAUUGGAUUGGCGCCAUUGAAGUGGGCUCCGCAAGGGGUUCGCUCGACAGGUGCUGAGAAGACGACCAAA
rnacentral:rRNA from 1 species